GGUUUGGGGCUACUGCGUUGCGUAACGUACAAAAUGCGACCAUUACCACACAACUUCACUAGCAACUGACAGUGCGUUACACUUUUAUUAAUUUUUAGCAGAUAAAAACAUCUCAAGUCGCCUUUUAAAUUUACGGAAGCAAUCCAAUAGUGCAAAUUUAUCUUCCCGUCGAACUGGCAACACUUUCCAAGGCACACAUCAUAAUAAAGUAACGUGAUCUCGAUUAGUUCAUUUUUAAAACAUUCGUCGUGAACAGUUGACUCACUUUUGUUUCCCAACAAAGAUUUCCGACUUAUAUUUGAGUAUAUUGAAAAUAACUUGCCUAGUCAAAUUGUUGGGCAAUCCGUUAAAGAAAAAAAAAAGAAAACGAAAUGAGGGGUUUCCCCUUUUCCCCGGUCUUCCUAGCGUGUAAUGUCGGGAGAGAGUCUUUGUCACUGAACGAACAAUGCGAUGUCUGAUUCACAACGGCGUCUACAUGUCAAGAGAAAUAUUCUCAAGAUAUGGCGAGAGGAAAACGAAAAGUUUCAGCUAUUCCACCUGGCCUUCAAUAGGAUGUGAAUUUCAGGAGGAAAAAAAAAAUAUGCAAUGAGGGAUAUCUUUUGAGUACGUGCUCCAGCGAUGACCGCCGAUGUCGCCUUCCAGCCGAUACCUUCGAUUUAUUAUCCGGUGAGCCAAAGAGUGUCUCAUGAUGCAUGGAAAAGGUUAUACACAGACGACACAUCCCCCAAUA
rnacentral:lncRNA from 1 species